AAACCAGAAAACACUUAACCAAAAUCUAAAGCCUCCUCCGAAUUGAUCUCUCAUGUCUCCCUCUCUCUCUCAUCUCCUCCACCCACUGCCCCCUCCCCCACCCGAUCAUCAAUCAGACAUUCAGACUUCAGUUCCUUUCUUCCUCAAUCAUAAAUCCACUUUCGAUUUCGAUCCGAUUCUUCUGGGGCGAAGUGUCGAACUCCCUAUCUUGAAUCUGCCUCUUCUAGAAGCACCAUGUGCUCAAGGCCAAGGAUGAGAAGGCCCUCCUCGUCUGUGCGAAGCCAGUCGCCGUCUUUGGGCUCAGAAACCUGGAGGUGAUCCCAUGGUGUCGGUUGGUGUUGAUAUUGUCCACUGGAGUGUUGAUAUUGUCCACUACAAUUUUCUUUAAUUUGAUUGCAGUAUGACUCAGUAUAUGCAUGAAUUGAAUGGCUGAGCUUUUUUAGCUUGAUAUAGCUAAUACAAGGUUUAAUUCUAUCUUCAGUAUGGCUGAGCUUUGAUUGCAUCAGUAUGACUUGGUUUUCGAUAUGUCCUUGUGAUUUCAUUUCGGUGACGGCGCUGGGUUUGGGCGACAGGGUUUAUGCUAAGAUUUCUAGGGUGGAGAUGGAGGAGCGUCCGCAGAGAUUGGAUGGAAUAGGACAAUCCCAAUCUGGAGGUCUCAUUUUGGAACCUAUUGAUGUUCUACUGCAAAGACGGGAGCAAAAGGCAUUUACAAGGGUUCGUUCUGCAACCAUUAUUUCCUGCGGAGGCUAGCAAUGAUUGGAAGGGGCCAAUAUGAUGCUGCCUAUGAUAUAGGGAACUUGAUGUAUGCUCAUUCUUGGACAAGGAUUAUGUUGUAAUCUUAGUGAUAUUCCACCUUGAACAACAAUGUAUACUAGGAAUGUAAAGAACAUCUUGCUAUGAAUGUAAAGUUUAUUCAUGUUCGAUUGAGUUGUGGAUUUGUUCACUUGAUUGUAAAUAUUUGAAGUGAAUUUAUUGUACAGAAAUCAAAACUAUUAUUAUG